rnacentral:rRNA from 1 species
CCUACGGGUGGCUGCAGUAGGGAAUAUUGGACAAUGGGCGCAAGCCUGAUCCAGCCAUCCCGCGUGAAGGAUUAAGGCCCUCUGGGUUGUAAACUUCUUUUCUUUGGGAAUAAAAACUCCGAUUCAUCGGAGCUUGAAGGUACCAGAGGAAUAAGCACCGGCUAACUCCGUGCCAGCAGCCGCGGUAAUACGGAGGGUGCAAGAUUCACCCGGUUUCAAGGGUUUUAAGGGGUGCUUGGGUGUCAGUGGUGAAAGCCCGGAGCUCAACUCCGGAACUGCCAUUGAUACUGCUUAGCUUGAAUCAGGUCGAGGUGGAUGGAAUAUUACAUGUAGCGGUGAAAUGCUUAGAUAUGUAAUAGAACACCGAUUGCGAAGGCAGUUCACUAGGCCUGUAUUGACACUGAGGCACGAAAGCGUGGGGAUCAAACAGGAUUAGAUACCCCUGUAGUC